rnacentral:rRNA from 1 species
UACGUAGGGGGCUAGCGUUGUCCGGAAUCAUUGGGCGUAAAGAGCGUGUAGGCGGUCCGGUAAGUCCGCUGUGAAAGUCGGGGGCUCAACCCUCGAAUGCCGGUGGAUACUGUCGGGCUAGAGUGCGGAAGAGGCGAGUGGAAUUCCGUGGUGUAGCGGUGAAAUGCGCAGAUAUCGGGAGGAACACCAAUUGCGAAGGCAGCUCGCUGGGACGUCACUGACGCUGAGACGCGAAAGCGUGGGGAGCAAACAGGG